GAUGAACGCUGGCGGCGUGCCUAAUACAUGCAAGUCGAGCGAACAGAUAAGGAGCUUGCUCCUUUGACGUUAGCGGCGGACGGGUGAGUAACACGUGGGUAACCUACCUAUAAGACUGGGAUAACUUCGGGAAACCGGAGCUAAUACCGGAUAACAUUUGGAACCGCAUGGUUCUAAAGUGAAAGAUGGUUUUGCUAUCACUUAUAGAUGGACCCGCGCCGUAUUAGCUAGUUGGUAAGGUAACGGCUUACCAAGGCGACGAUACGUAGCUGACCUGAGAGGGUGAUCGGCCACACUGGAACUGAGACACGGUCCAGACUCCUACGGGAGGCAGCAGUAGGGAAUAUUCCGCAAUGGGCGAAAGCCUGACGGAGCAACGCCGCGUGAGUGAUGAAGGGCUUCGGCUCGUAAAACUCUGUUAUUAGGGAAGAACAAAUGUGUAUGUAACUGUGCACGUCUUGACGGUACCUAAUCAGAAAGCCACGGCUAACUACGUG
rnacentral:rRNA from 1 species